UGCGUAGGCGGUCCCGCAAGUCCGUUGUGAAAGCCCCGGGCUUAACCUGGGAAUGGCAGUGGAAACUAGGGGACUUGAAUCUGGCAGAGGGGGGUGGAAUGCCACGUGUAGCAGUGAAAUGCGUAGAGAUGUGGCGGAACACCGAUGGCGAAGGCAGCCCCCUGGGCUGAGAUUGACGCUCAGGCACGAAAGCGUGGGGAGCAAACAGGAUUAGAUACCCUGGUAGUCCACGCCCUAAACGAUGAUCACUAGGUGUUGGGGAAGCGAUUUCUCAGUACCGCAGCUAACGCGUGAAGUGAUCCGCCUGGGAGUACGGUCGCAAGAUUAAA
rnacentral:rRNA from 1 species